UGAGUGGCGGACGGGUGAGUAACGCGUGGGCAACUUGGCCUGUACAGGGGGAUAACACUUAGGAAAUAGGUGCUAAUACCGCAUAACGGGGGAAGCCGCAUGGCUUUUCUCUGAAAACUCCGGUGGUACAGGAUGGGCCCGCGUCUGAUUAGCCAGUUGGCAGGGUAACGGCCUACCAAAGCGACGAUCAGUAGCCGGCCUGAGAGGGCGGACGGCCACACUGGGACUGAGACACGGCCCAGACUCCUACGGAAGGCAGCAG
rnacentral:rRNA from 1 species